GAUGAACGCUGGCGGCGUGCUUAACACAUGCAAGUCGAACGAUGAAGCCCAGCUUGCUGGGUGGAUUAGUGGCGAACGGGUGAGUAACACGUGAGUAGCCUGCCCUUGACUCUGGGAUAAGCGCUGGAAACGGCGUCUAAUACCGGAUACGAGCUUCCACCGCAUGGUGAGUUGCUGGAAAGAAUUUCGGUCAAGGAUGGACUCGCGGCCUAUCAGGUAGUUGGUGAGGUAACGGCUCACCAAGCCGACGACGGGUAGCCGGCCUGAGAGGGUGACCGGCCACACUGGGACUGAGACACGGCCCAGACUCCUACGGGAGGCAGCAGUGGGGAAUAUUGCACAAUGGGCGCAAGCCUGAUGCAGCAACGCCGCGUGAGGGACGAAGGCCUUCGGGUCGUAAACCUCUUUUAGCAGGGAAGAAGCGAAAGUGACGGUACCUGCAGAAAAAGCACCGGCUAACUACGUG
rnacentral:rRNA from 1 species